GUGCUCACUUUGGCAGCAUAUACACUAAAAUUGGAACAAUACAGAAAAGAUUAGCAUGGCCCCUACACAAGGAUGACAUGCAAAUUCAUGAAACAUUCCAUAUUUUU
rnacentral:snRNA from 1 species